CUGAAUCCACUCAUUAUGCUGCUACGGGCCUGAUGACAUAGAUUUCAUUGCUGAGUGAUAUUGCUUUUUAGAAUCAUCAUACCUGAAUCCACUCAUUGUGCUGCUACGGGCCUGAUGACAUAGAUUUCAUUGCUGAGUGAUAUUGCAUUUUAGAAUCAUCAUACCUGAAUCCACUCAUUGUGCUGCUACGGGCCUGAUGACAUAGAUUUCAUUGCUGAGUGAUAUUGC